CGGUUACAGAUGGGCAUGCGUCUGAUUAGGUAGUUGGUGAGGUAACGGCUCACCAAGCCGACGAUCAGUAGGGGUUCUGAGAGGAUUACCCCCCACACUGGUACUGAGACACGGACCAGACUCCUACGGGAGGCAGCAGUGAGGAAUAUUGGUCAAUGGCCGGAAGGCUGAACCAGCCAUCCCGCGUGCAGGAUGACGGCCCUAUGGGUUGUAAACUGCUUUUGUACCUGAAGAAUAGGCCCAACGAGUUGGGAUUUGCCGGUAAGGUAUGAAUAAGCAUCGGCUAACUCCGUGCCAGCAGCCGCGGUAAUACGGAGGAUGCGAGCGUUAUCCGGAUUUAUUGGGUUUAAAGGGUGCGUAGGCUGUUAUAUAAGUCAGUGGUGAAAUAUUCGGGCUCAACCGGGAUACUGCCAUUGAUACUGUAUAGCUGGAAUAUGGUUGCUGUGAGUGGAAUGUGUGGUGUAGCGGUGAAAUGCAUAGAGAUCACACAGAAUAUCGAUUGCGAAGGCAACUCACAAAGCCAUUAUUGACGCUGAUGCACGAAAGUGUGGGGAUCAAACAGGAUUAGAUACCCUGGUAGUCCACACUGUAAACGAUGAUAACUAGCUGUCGGCGAUACACAGCAAGCGGCUGACUGAGCGAAAGCGAUAAGUUAUCCACCUGGGGAGUACGACCGCAAGGUUGAAACUCAAAGGAAUUGACGGGGGCCCGCACAAGCGGAGGAACAUGUGGUUUAAUUCGAUGAUACGCGAGGAACCUUACCCGGGCUCGAACGGUGCAGGAAUAUGUCAGAGAUGUCAUAGCUAGCUAGCAAUAGUCUGUAUCGAGGUGCUGCAUGGUUGUCGUCAGCUCGUGCCGUGAGGUGUCGGCUUAAGUGCCAUAACGAGCGCAACCCUUGUCGUUAGUUACCAUCAAGUAAUGUUGGGGACUCUAGCGAGACUGCCACCGUAAGGUGUGAGGAAGGGGGGGAUGACGUCAAAUCAGCACGGCCCUUACGUCCGGGGCGACACACGUGUUACAAUGGUAGGUACAGAGGGGCGCUAUCCAGCGAUGGAGUGCGAAUCUUUAAAAUCGGUCUCAGUUCGGAUCGGAGUCUGCAACUCGACUCCGUGAAGUCGGAUUCGCUAGUAAUCGCGCAUCAGCCAUGGCGCGGUGAAUACGUUCCCGGGCCUU
rnacentral:rRNA from 1 species